rnacentral:ncRNA from 1 species
GUCGGGAAGCGGGUCUGGCUGACGUGCCGGGCCUGGGCGAGGUGAACGCUCGGCGUUCUCGCGCCGAACACGGGAUCCGAGCUCGGUCCCGUGCCUUGGCCUCCCGCGGAUCUUCCUUGCUGCGAGGCUUCCGUGGCGGCGCGAGCCGUCGCGGUCGUCCUCUUCGGCCGCCAUUCAACGCUCAGCUCAGAACUGGCACGGACUAGGGGAAUCCGACUGUCUAAUUAAAACAAAGCAUUGCGAUGGCCCUCGCGGGUGUUGACGCAAUGUGAUUUCUGCCCAGUGCUCUGAAUGUCAACGUGAAGAAAUUCAAGCAAGCGCGGGUAAACGGCGGGAGUAACUAUGACU